GACCUAAUGGCGAAGUUGGUAUCGCGUCCACUCCAUUUCAAUCGGAACUGUAUCGUUAUGUGGAAGUCCCUCGUUCGAUUUGAGGUUAAGGCA